rnacentral:lncRNA from 1 species
ACACAAACAUUUAAAAACAAAACUAGCCGUUGGAGACUAGAACCCUUCAUUUUCUUUCUUCUUCUUCGAUGCAGAUGACAUCCUUUUGCUCGGGAGUAUCUUGCUGCCUUCGACUCCCCGACUCCAGGAGCUGGUUAGCUUCCAACACUCCCUUCUAAACUGCUUCUGGGAGUCAAUCCGAGCAAACCCCUCAGGUAAUUGAAUCUCUCCUUCGGUAGUGCUUUUGUGAAUAUGUCUGCGAUCUGAUCUUCUGUGCUGCAAUAGAUUAGCUUGAUUGUGUUGUCUUGCAAUGCUUCUCUGAUGAAAUGAUAUCUUCUCUUGAUGUGUUUUGUUCUCUGAUGAAAUACUGGGUUUUUAGUCAUGGCAAUUGCAGAGGUGUUGUCACACAGAAGUGGUGUGGCUUCAACUUGCAAUUCGCCAAAAUCUUUAAGUAUGAACCUUAGCCAAAUGGCUUGAGAUGUAGCUUCUGAUGCACUUACAUACUCUGCCUCGGCUGUGGACAGUGCAACACUUUGUUGCUUCACAGAGGCCCAUGAAAAAACCCCUGAUCCGAAAGUGAAAGCAUAGCCCGAUGUGCUUCUACUAUCAUCCUCACUGCCACCCCAGUCACUGUCACAGAAUCCAAUUAGAAUAGAUGACUUUCCCAUCUCAUAUUUGAUCCCAUAAUCAAGAGUUCCUUGCACAUAUCUUAGCACUCUCUUAGCCGUGCCCAUAUGUAUCUUGCUAGGAUUCUGCAUAAACCUAGAAAGUAGGCUUGCUGAGAACAUCAGAUCCGGCCUUGUUGCUGUUAGAUACAAUAGACUGCCAACAAUGCUUUUAUAGAGACUAGCAUCUGCAGGUUCACUUCCAUCCUCCUUCUUGAGCUUCUCAUUUGCAAUUAAGGGUGUAGAAAACUGGUUUGCAACCUUUCAAACCAAACUUUUCAAGCAAAGUUUCAGCAUACUUCUUUUGAUGAAUAAAAAUGCUACUUGCUUUUUGAAUUACCCCAAUGCCAAGAAAAUGAUGCAAGAGGCCUAGGUCAGUCAUCUCGUACCUCUUCAUCAUUUCUUCCUUGAACUCUUCCAUCAUUGCAGCAUCAUUUCCAGUGUAGACAACAUCAUCCACAUAGAUUGAGACAAUGAGUGUCUUGUUGUUGCUUUCUGUCUUGGUGUAGAGUGUAGCUUCACUAGGACUUUUCUGAAAUCCUUUCUCAAUGAAAUAUGAAUCAAUCUCACUGUACCAAGCUCUUGGAGCUUGUUUUAGGCCAUAAAGAGCCUUCCUCAACUUGUACACUUUUUCUGGAAACUCUUGAUUUGUGAACCCUUGAGGUUGUUCCACAAACACUUCCUCCUCUAGCACUCCAUUUAGAAAUGCAGAUUUAACAUCCAAUUGAUGCAACUUCCAACCCUUCUUGGCUGCUAGUGCUAUCAAGGUCCUUAUGGUGUCUAACCUUGCUACUGGAGCAAAGGUUUCAUUGAAGUCUACACCAGGUUUCUGUGAGUAACCUUUGGCCACUAACCUGGCCUUGUUCUUUUGCACAGAACCAUCUAGAUUUAGCUUCACUUUGUACACCCAUUUUACACCAAUCACAGGCUUCUCACUUGGUCGAUUUACAAGUUCCCAAGUGUCAUUCUUUUCUAUCAUUUCAAGCUCUUCCUUCAUUGCUUUCUUCCAAGCUUUGUCUUUCUCAGCUUCUUCAUACGUUUCUGGUUCUACUACACAGUAAUUACAUGUAGCAUAAAUCUCAUCCAGAUUUCUCAAUCUUACUGGAGUUGAACUAGGAGUUGUUGUCUGUGAUUGACUUGAUUGUGGACUCAUAGUAGCUUGCUGUGGAGUCCCUUGUAUGUCACCAUUAUCUGUGACUUCUUCUUGAACUGAGGUCUCUAUAGGCUCCCUUGUUUGCCUUUUGUUUAGGUCAAUUUGUAGAGAGACACUGUCCUUUUCCUCUACCAUUGUAUCCCAGUUCCACAUUGAGUCUUCAUCAAAGAUAAUAUCCCUUGAUAGGAUUAUCUUUUGAGUCAAUACAUUAUAAACUCUGUAUCCUUUCUCACUGGUACCAUAGCCUACAAAAACACCCUUGUUACUUGAUUUCUCCAACUUGUGCCUUAGUUGAUGAGGGAUGAGAUUGUAGCAUACUGAGCCAAACACUCUCAGAUGCUUCACAGAAGGCUUCCUUCCACUGAACACUUCAAAUGGAGUCUUCUUCUCCAAUGCCUUAGUAGGACACCUAUUCAAUAGAUACACUGAGGUGUGUUCACAGCUUCACCCCAAAAUUUAUAAGGCAUGUUCUUCUCAUGCAUCAUAGACUUAGCCAUUUCGACUAUAGUCCUAUUCUUCCUUUCUGCAAUCCCAUUCUGUUGUGGUGUAUAUGCCACAGUGAGUUGCUUCUCUAACCCUACAUCUUCACAAAAUACAUUGAACUCAUGUGAGGUGUACUCACCACCCCUAUCACUUCUUAGUCUUUUGAUUUGGUAUCCACUUUGCAAUUCCACCAUUGCCUUAAACUUCUUGAAUAUUGUGAAUACCUCAGACUUGAACCUCAUGAAAUACACACCACACAUCCGUGAAUAAUCAUCAUCAUGAAGGUUAGGAAAUACCUGUUUCCACUGAUUGUUGUUGUUCUCAUUGGUCCACACACAUCUGAGUGAAUCAAUUCGAGUGGCUUUGUUGCCCUCCAAGCCUUUCCAGCUUCAAAUGAAUCUCUGUGAUGCUUGCCAAACACACACCCUUCACAGAUUUCAUUGCAUUGAUCCAUUUUUUGGUAUACCUUGCACCAUUUCAUCCUUUUGCAGAUUUUGUAAGCUUGUCAUGUUUAAAUGACCAAGUCUCUUGUGCCAUAGUUUCAUAGAACUUGUCACACUUGCUUUCUUUGCCACUUCUUCUAAGUACUUCAGUACAAGUGGAAAGCUUCUGUUUUUCACUUCCACUUUGGUCACCAAGUUUGAUAGGGAUCUGUCAUCAUAGAUCUCAACCACAGUCCCCCCAAAGAGUAGGAAAUAGCCAUGCUCCAUCAUUUGACCCACACUAAGUAGAUUCUCAUCCAAUCCAGGCACUAGCAUCACCUCCCUUAUACAUCUUCUUCCUUUCUUGGUGUUGAUAACCAGAGUUCCUCUUCCAGUGGCUUUGACAAUGUUUCCAUCACCCAUUUUCACUUUUCCAGUGAAGUUUGUGUCGAUGUCAAUAAGUAAAGACUCAUGUGCAGUCAUGUGGUUGCUGCAGCCACUGUCAAUGUACCACACUUCAUUGUUUCUCUCCAUUUUUGCAUUGAAAGCACAGAACACAUUUGCUUCUUCUUCCACUUGAUUUGCACAGUUUACUUGUUGCACAUUCUUUGAUCUGCAGUCCUUCAUAAUGUGCCCAAACCUGUUGCAUUUGUGGCAUCUAGGCUUGUCCUUGAACCAACACUCUCCAAGGUGGAAUUUAUCACAGUGCUUACAUUGCUGCUUGGUUCUUGGACCUACAUUGGUGUUGCUGCCUUGGUUAGGUCUUGAGUUGUGAUACCCUUUUCCUUCCCAUUUCUUGCUUUUGCCCUUCCACUGUGGUUUCUGAUUGCUUGCACUGGCUUGACUGCUAGAUCCAACAUUGAGUGUUUGAAAGGCUUUCUCAGGUGCAGAGUCAGCAUGCCUCUCGAGCCUUUGAUCAAAAGCUCUUAAGGAUGCCAUCACCUCUUGUACACUGAGUGUUUCAGUGUCUUUGGUUUCUUCUAUAACACUCACUAUUGAAUCAUAGGGUUUAGUCAAACUAAUCAACAGUUUUUGGACAAUUCUUUCAUUAGGCAGUUCCUCACCAUAUGUUUUCAUCUUGUUUACAACAUCAUCAAACAGCCUAGUGAAGUAGUCUUUUAACAGCUCAUUUUUCCCUCAUUCUUGUAUACUCAAAAUCUCUUCUAAGGGACUGAAGUUUUACCUUUCUAACUUUGGUGUCUCCUCUGUAUUCUUGCUGUAAAACUUCCCAAGCUCCCUUUGCAGUCUCUUCAUUUGCUAUCCUCGGAAAAAUGGUGUUGUCUGAGACAGCACCUUGAAUGAUUCCAAGUGCUCUAGCAUCCUCCAUCCGAUUCUGCUUCAGUGUUUUGAGUUGUGUUUCUGUGAGAUCCUCCUCUAGAGCAUCGAUCUCCAUCUCAGGUAGUUCAUACCCAUGUUGAACCAUAUAUCCCAUAGAUCAUAGGAUUUGAAAAUGGUUGUCAUUCUUAUUCUCCAAAAAUCAUAAUUCUCCCCAUCAAAGACUGGAGCUUUUAGCUCACUGCUACUGCUGGAUCCUUUCAUUUCCAGAAUUGUUUGUUGAUUAUUGUUAUAGAAGACACUACGUUGGUGCUCCCAAAGAUCUUAUCUUGCACAGAUUACGCCCCGAAAGUUGUAAGAUCAAUAACAAAGCUCUGAGGCCAUGAUAAAGUUUGUUUAUUUUGUGUUUUUGAUUGAGUGUUUGAAUCGGUUUCUUUUUGGUAGGAUAGUAGAGAAAUUGAAAAAGAUAACUUGGAGAUUGGUUUCUGCUAUGCAAAUAAUGCAGCAGCCUUGAUUGAAUAAGAAGAGUGAUUUUACACAAGAGUAUGGUGCAUUUCCAUCACCCAUACUUUCUACAAAAGGUGAUUGACAAGAGGCCUUAACAACCAUUAAGCCUUACUACUCCAGAUUACAUCUUAACCCUUCAUUUUGGGGUUAAAUGAUUUAAUCUGGAGUGUACAUUUGUCACUCACACACUUACACAAACAUUUAAAAACAAAACUAGCCGUUGGAGACUAGAACCCUUCAUUUUCUUUCUUCUUCUUCGAUGCAGAUGACAUCCUUUUGCUCGGGAGUAUCUUGCUGCCUUCGACUCCCCGACUCCAGGAGCUGGUUAGCUUCCAACA